CGGAAAGAGGCCGUGUGCUGACAGCUGGAGAUCCUGACAGAGGUCUGCUACAGUUCUGUGGUGUCCAUGUCUCUCCAGGCCUAUUACCCUAGCUGUGAGCAUCAUGAAAGAGGUCAACUGAACACGAGAUGCGGCUCAUUACACCAUGGACUUGCAUUGGUGAUACUGAAGCAUUCUGUGACUUGAGGUACCACUAAGAAGAACAAAAGCCUGAUGGUAGACUCUAGGAUGCCAUGGUCACCAAAGCAUGUUUUGACCUCAGCUCUGCUGCCAUGGGAACUGAUGUGGCCAUCACCAGGGGAGCGAACGCCUACAGCGCAUAGUCAUCUGAGGGGCUGUGAAGAAGACCAGCCAAUCUGCUUCAUGUGACUCCUAAAGCCAGGAACAGGAUUAGUGGUGUGGGUUUUGGGGCCACAGCAGCUCAAGGGAGCAAACUCUAUAGGAUCCAUUACGGUGGGCUUAUAAAUGAGCCCCAGAAUGCUGACAUUAGGCUCAGUACGGUCCAAAGAAUUACCCCUUCUUCAUCUAUAGAGAUGACCUACACUAAGGCAGGCAGGUAGAGCAGCUGCCUGCAAAGUCCUACUCAGCUUCAAGUCCCCCAGCUGAGAACUGAAAAGGGAGCUGCCCUGGGCAUCCUUUGUCCUGUUCCUGCCUGGUAAUUGACAUAGUGAAUGGUCGCUAAUGAAGAACGGAGUGGGACUUCCUGGGAAGUGACUGCAGACAGCCAGAAAGACAACUGCUAAUUACCAGUGCCAGCUGGUGGCCCUGGAGGACCAUGCAGACAGAAAAGAUGAGGGCUGGGAGGACCAGGCAGAGAGAAACUUCAGGAAAGCUGCUUUUGCUAGGGCCCUCUGCACCCAAGCACUGACUUACUCCAUGGAUGACGAAUCAAGAGGUCAAGACCAACACCAGCCAUGCUCUCUUUCCUGGUCAAGCCCGAGGAGGAGGUAUUAAACCACCAUCAUAAAUCUGCUAGUGUCCUCCAACUGACCUUGGCUGUUAGACUGGGCAGGCUUUCUUCAGUCUCAGACCCCAGCACUGAUUGCCCUUUCUGUUGCUCAUCCCCAGCUCUGACCCUGCCUGCACUGUUGGCAUUUUGAUUCAGCAACCCCUGGGAUAUGAUGUAGGGAGCAGCCCCUAACCCCUCACUGGCUCUGCGUGCGUGAAGCAGGACACCAGGAGCUUACCCCAUGGUCCUCACUUACACCAUGAUGAAGGGAACGGGAUCACGUUGAAGGGGGAGCUGUCUUAGUGAGACAUGUGAACAACGUGGCCAGUCGUUAGGCAUUCCAAAAGCCUGGUAAAGGGCAGACUGCCUCUCUGCGGGGCACUGGAGUGAAUGUCUGGUAGCUGCCUUCUUGGGUGUUUCUGCCUCAUAACUCAUCCUCCUGUAGUCUGGCGCGGUCUCUCCCCACACUGAGCAGGUCUCAGUUUCUCACACACCUGGUGCCCCGAGCGUCACACCUGUUCUUCCUCAGAUCUGUCUCCUCAUGAAUCCCUCCUCUCCCUCACCUCUGGGUCACACUGUGGGGUGUGGUCCUUCAGGGUCAAGGCCCCUGAUGGAUUGGGAUUCUGACCAGACAUACCUCUCCUAGCUACACUUGUUGUGAGCGACCCAGGACCUCCUUUCUUUCUUCCGUCUUUCCCCUCCUUCAUCUGGGCCCUGCCACUCACAGGGGUGAGCUGCUGGAGGGCAGGGAAGACUUCCGUUGUCAGAGUGGCUUGCCUGAAUCCCAGCUGCCCCUUAAUCUUAAAGAUGCUGAAAUCCUCGGCUGAAAUGGUAGCAGGAGAGCUCUGAGACUAACUCCCUUUCGCCUAUAUUGUGUGCUGGGACCAUACAAACUGACAGGUAGUAGAGCUUUGGUGGUUGGCAGUACUGGAGGCAAACAACCUACAACCCAGGGGUGGGCAGCUGGCUCUGCCUGCUGGUACUCCCUGCCCCCUUGGUAGUCUCUGCCCUGUUCCCACACAGACUUCUUGCAUGUAUCUCUCUCCAUCCUUCUUCUUUAUAGGAGAACACUAGCCAUGUGUUAAGGACUCCUUAACCCCGUGUGGCCCCACCUUAGCUAAUCUCACAGACUCUCUGUCAUACACGUUCUGGAUGUGUCUGGUGAAGGAUGCAUGCAGCCCAGCGUCCACCAUGAUGGCCUCUUAGAAUCUCAAGGUGAAGGCAUGGAACCUUCUUAUGGAAGAGAUGGGAAAUGGCUGUUCCUCCUUUUCCUUUAGAUCUUGCCCUGUGACCUGAGCCGCUUUCUCCCUGAUCCCCAUGGCUAGAUAGAUGCUGUCCUCACAGCAGAAGCCUGCUCUGCCCACCAGAGUCUAAGCAUCUGAGACACUGGAUCCUCUCCUUACCUGCAGAGAGGAGAAUGGAGCAGAAUCAAGACCCCUGAAGCCAGCACAUUCUGUGUGGCAGCUAGCCUUCCCCCCAUAAGCACGAGCAGGGCUCUGAUCCCAGAGAGACAUCACCCAUGUGCAUGUCUGCACACAUGCACACACGGUGCUCCGUGUAGCCCCGCGCUGAGUCUUCCUGCUUCGCCUCUGAGGCAGCUGAAGACUGAGGAAAGGAAAUGAGAUGGGGAAUCGCUUCUCGGGCAAUUACCCACACCUCGUAUAGUCUAAUGAGCCGUUGAGGGGCCCGGAUGGAACAUUUAGGGGGGUUAUUGAAUGUUUCCUCACAGUUUACCCAGUUCCAGGAGUUAAUUGAUUUAUGGACUGCAGGAGCAUGCGUGUCUCCGAAUAUGAGUGGGUGCCUUUUGGAUCUCUCUCUCUCUCUCUCUCUCUCUCUCUCCCUCCCCCCCCCCUCUCUCUCUCUCUCUCUCUCUCUGUGUGUGUGUGUGUGUGUGUGUGUGUGUGUGUGUGUGUGUGUGAAUUCGGGGCAUUCUGGCUAGAGGCCUGAGCUCCCUAGCUUUGGCAUCAGGCCUCCACAGCAUCUGCCUGCAUUUGCUGAGGAGAGGCCACGGAGGACGUGGCUGCACACCAAGGCAUGGGUCUGCAACCAUGCAUGCUCUCGGGACCAGGAUUCCCCUUACUGUUCCCAAAAUCCAGUUCAUCUUACCCACUCAGAUUUGUGCUAUACCUAGCACGAUAUUUUUAACUAACCUUACAUUUUUUUCUUUCAUUAGUUGUUUUAAAGCUACUACAAAAUGCUAUUGUGAAAUUGUUAUGUUUGAUAUGAUUGCUGCUCUCUUUUUCCCUUUCUUUCUGUUGAAAACAUUAUAUUUAAGUGCGUGUGGGGGGGGGGGAAGAGAGCUAGAGAGAGAGAGCUAGAGAGAGAGAGAGAGGGAGAGGGAGAGAGAGAUCAGAGACAACUUGGGAGAGUUGCUUUUCUCCUUCCACCAUGUAGGUUCCAAGGAUGGAAGUCAGCGCUUCAGUCUUGUAGCAAGUGCUCUUAGCAGCUGAGCUCUCUUAUCACCCUGCGUUCUUUUCCUGUUUGUUUUGAGACAGGAUCUCUCUUUGUUGCCCAGGCUGUCCUUCCUUUGUUGCCC
rnacentral:lncRNA from 1 species